UACGUAGGUGGCAAGCGUUGUCCGGAUUUAUUGGGUUUAAAGGGUGCGUAGGCGGCCCUGUAAGUCAGUGGUGAAAUACGGCAGCUCAACUGUCGAGGUGCGAUUGAUACUGCAGGGCUAGAGUACUGAUGAGGUAGGCGGAAUGGACGGUGUAGCGGUGAAAUGCUUAGAUAUCGUCCAGAACACCGAUAGCGAAGGCAGCUUACUAAAGAGUAACUGACGCUGAGGCACGAAAGUGUGGGGAUCAAACAGG
rnacentral:rRNA from 1 species